UUCAUACCAUCCCUCUCCUCUUCUCCAGGCCUCACUCUCUUUCUCUCCGUCUGCCGCAGUCAUCUUCGGCGUAGCGUCGCCGGUUCCGGCCGCCGCACGCCAUAAGAUCACCACCAAAACGUCCAUUUUUCCCUCCUCUACCUCCUCAUACUCACCAGGUCGACAUGUAUCCACUCCCGAAGGAGAUCAAAGCCGAGGUAGCACGGCGGAGUUCGCCGAUUUCAGGCGAGCUUGGGCAACGACAGCAACUUCGGUGAGUAGGGUUUCUUUCCUCUUCUCUUCUUCUUCAAUUUCAUGUCUUUAAUCUUUGGAUUGGAGCCCUAAUGUGAAAAUCCCCUUUUCUGCCAUUUUUCUAGGUUUGUCGAGGUCAUUUUCCGGUGAGACUUCCGGCGAGACCAGACGAGGACACACGGGUCGAUGACGCCGACGUCGUCGACGGCGACUCCCGGGUCUGUGCUGGGAUUUGCUGGAUCGGUGGUGGGAUUUGCUAGAUUUGUGUUGGGAUUUGGGGCAGAGGCCGAUGCGGCUGCGAUGUCAAAUUUUUUUUUUUUUUUCAGACUUAGCGACGGAAUCCAAUAAUUCCGUCGCCUAGGGGAAAAAUAAUUUUUUUUGUCAUUAAACAAUAUCCGUUGCCUAAGUUCUUAGGAGACGGAAAAAUUACGUCGCCUAAGUACUUAGGAGACGGAAAAAAUUCCGUUGCCUAAGUAAUUCUUAGUCGACGGAACUCAAUUUUUCGUCGCCCUAACACCUACCUCACAUCACUUAGGCGACGGAUCUUAAGCGACAGAUAUUUCGUCGCCUAAGUACUUAGGAGAUGAAUUUUGUUCUUAGGAGACGAAUUUUGUUACUUAGGAGACGAAAUUAUUCCGUCUCCUAAGUGACUUUUUCCAGUAGUGUACUAUGUUGGUUAUGGGUUGUGAGAUGUGGUAAAGGGAUUAAAUUAGCCGCAGAUGUUGGACUUCGUAUCGAUGAAGGGCAGAGAACCUGUUGAGUCGAGAAGUAGCCAGGUAGAUAAACAUGAUUUGGGUGUUGAGAGCAGAUUUGGGAGUUGCUAUAAAUUCAUUGAUUGGUAGGUGAGUAGCUUCUGGAAGGGUGCGUCUAUUGCCACCCCACAAACCACUUUGUUCACCCCAUAUUUUCUUCACACCCUACUUAUAUAUUUUCAAUUAUAAGUCUAUUUUGUUCACCCAUUUUAAUACAUAAAACACCCUUUUCC
rnacentral:lncRNA from 1 species